rnacentral:rRNA from 1 species
AAAGACGUAGUAGCCUGCGAUAAGCCUCGGGGAGCUGGCAAACAAGCUUUGAUCCGAGGAUUUCUGAAUGGGGCAACCCACGGCUUAGGCCGUAUCCCGCAAGGGAGGCUAACGCAGGGAACUGAAACAUCUAAGUACCUGCAGGAAAAGAAAUCAACCGAGAUUCCCCUAGUAGUGGCGAGCGAACGGGGAAUAGCCCAAACCUGCUUUGUGGCAACGCUUAGCAGGGGUUGUAGGACCACGCUGUCGUACUUAGAUUGUGAGAAGAAUGUUCUGGAAAGAACAAUCAUAGAGGGUGAUAAUCCCGUAUUCGAAGCAUGACGAGACGUAGUGGUAUCCUGAGUAACGCGGAACACGUGAAAUUCUGCGCGAAUCCGCCGGGACCAUCCGGUAAGGCUAAAUACUCCCGUGAGACCGAUAGUGAACGAGUACUGUGAAGGAAAGGUGAAAAGCACUCCGAUGAGGAGAGUGAAAUAGUUCCUGAAACCAUGCGCCUACAAGCGGUCGGAGCCGCGUAAGCGGUGACGGCGUGCCUUUUGCAUAAUGAACCUACGAGUUACCAUGUCUGGCAAGGAUAAGCGUCAUGAGACGCGCAUCCGCAGUGAAAGCGAGCCUGAAAAGGGCGUCGAGUCAGAUGGGGUAGACGCGAAACCAAGUGAUCUACACUUGCCCAGGUUGAAGUCCGGGUAACACCGGAUGGAGGACCGCACGGAUAAGCGUUGAAAAGCUUCCCGAUGAGGUGAGUGUAGGAGUGAAAGGCCAAUCAAACUUGGAGAUAGCUCGUACUCCCCGAAAGGCAUUUAGGUGCCGCGUGCAUCGAUUUCCAUAAGAGGUAGAGCGACCGAUAGGUCAAGAGGGCUUCACCGCCUAUCGAGACCUGACGAACUCCGAAUGCUUAUGGACA